rnacentral:rRNA from 1 species
AACAGGAUUAGAUACCCUGGUAGUCCACGCCGUAAACGAUGUCUACUAGUCGUUGGGUCCCUUGAGGACUUAGUGACGCAGCUAACGCAAUAAGUAGACCGCCUGGGGAGUACGGCCGCAAGGUUAAAACUCAAAUGAAUUGACGGGGGCCCGCACAAGCGGUGGAGCAUGUGGUUUAAUUCGAUGCAACGCGAAGAACCUUACCUGGUCUUGACAUAUCUAGAAUCCUGCAGAGAUGCGGGAGUGCCUUCGGGAAUUAGAAUACAGGUGCUGCAUGGCUGUCGUCAGCUCGUGUCGUGAGAUGUUGGGUUAAGUCCCGCAACGAGCGCGACCCUCGUCCUUAGUUACCAGCGGUUUGGCCGGGAACUCUAAGGAUACUGCCAGUGACAAACUGGAGGAAGGCGGGGACGACGUCAAGUCAUCAUGGCCCUUACGACCAGGGCUACACACGUGCUACAAUGGUAGGUACAGAGGGCAGCUACACAGCGAUGUGAUGCGAAUCUCAAAAAGCCUAUCGUAGUCCAGAUUGGAGUCUGCAACUCGACUCCAUGAAGUAGGAAUCGCUAGUAAUCGCGGAUCAGAAUGCCGCGGUGAAUACGUUCCCGGGCCUUGUACACACCGCCCGUCACACCAUGGGAGUUGAUUGCACCAGAAGUGGUUAGCCUAACCUUUUAGGAAGGCGAUCACCACGGUGUGGUUGAUGACUGGGGUGAAGUCGUAACAAGGUAACC